rnacentral:rRNA from 1 species
AUAGCGCAUAGUACCGUGAGGGAAAGGUGAAAAGAACCCCGGGAGGGGAGUGAAAAAGAACCUGAAACCCUGUGUUUACAAGCAGUGAAAGUGCGAGCAAGGCACGAUCACGUACUUUUUGUAGAACGGACCGGCGAGUUACGUUAUGCAGCAAGGUUAAGAACUGAAGGUUCGGAGCCGAAGCGAAAGCGAGUCUGAAUAGGGCGAUAGUUGCAUGACGUAGACCCGAAACCGGGUGACCUAUCCAUGAGCAGGUUGAAGUGGAGGUAAAGCUCCAUGGAGGACCGAACCAGACGUCUGUUGAAAAAGGCGGGGAUGACUUGUGGAUAGGGGAGAAAUUCCAAUCGAACCCGGAGAUAGCUGGUUCUCCUCGAAAUAGCUUUAGGGCUAGCCUCAUGGAUCAUUGGUGGGGGUAGAGCACUGAAUGUGCGCGGGGGCCACAAAGCCUACCAAACGCUAUCAAACUUCGAAUACCAUACAAUGCAGACCAUGGGAGUCAGUCCGCGAGAGAUAAGUUCCGCGGGCAAAAGGGGAACACCCCAGAUCAACCGCUAAGGUCCCCAAGUUCACGUUAAGUGGAGAAGGAUGUGGAAUUGCACAGACAACCAGGAUGUUGGCUCAGAAGCAGCCACACAUUUAAAGAGUGCGUAAUAGCUCACUGGUCGAGUGAUUGUGCGCCGAAGAUGUCCGGGGCUAAACGUGACACCGAAGCGAUGGGUGCAUCUGAAAGGAUGCGCGGUAGAGGAGCAAUGUGCAGAGGCAGAAGCCGUAUCGAGAGGCACGGUGGACACUGCACAAGAGAGAAUGCCGGUAUGAGUAGCGAGAGGCAUGCGAGAAACAUGCCCGUCGAAAGCCCAAGGUUUCCUGGGGAAGGUUCAUCCGCCCAGGGUAAGUCGGGGCCUAAGCCGAGGACGGAAGUCGUAGGCGAUGGACAGCAGGUGUAGAUUCCUGCACUACCGAUGGAAUGAAGCAGUGACACAGAAGGAUAACUCGAGCAGGGUGAUGGUCAACCCUGUGCAAGCAUUGAGGUUGGGUUGUAGUAAAGUACGCAAUCCUAUAAGCUGAGGUGUGAUGCGGACCGAAAUUUCAGUAGGGAAGCGAGUGAGUUCACGCUGGCGAGAAAAGCUGCUAGUACAUCCAAAGGUACCCGUACCGGAAACCGACGCAGGUGGGCGAGGAGAGAAUCCUGAGACGAACGGGAGAACCCUUGUUAAGGAACUCGGCAAAAUGACCCCGUAACUUCGGGAUAAGGGGUGCCUGCGAGAGCAGGCCGCAGAGAAUAGUCACAAGCGACUGUUUAGCAAAAACACAGGUAUCUGCGAAAGCGAGAGCUGACGUAUAGGUGCUGACACCUGCCCGGUGCUGGAAGGUUAAGGGAACAUGUUAGAGCAAUCGAAGCAUCGAACCGAAGCCCCAGUAAACGGCGGCCGUAACUAUAACGGUCCUAAGGUAGCGAAAUUCCUUGUCGGGUAAGUUCCGACCCGCACGAAUGGUGUAACGACUUGUGAGCUGUCUCAACAGGGGGCCCGGUGAAAUUGAAGUAUGGGUGAAGAUGCCCAUUACCCGCGACUGGACGGAAAGACCCCGUAGAGCUUUACUGCAGCCUGAUAUUGAGUUUCGGUAACUGAUGCACAGGAUAGGUGGGAGUCUGAGAGACACGGGUUUCGGCUCGUGUGGAGACGAUGUUGGGAUACCACUCUUCGGUUACUGAAAUUCUAACAUAGCUCUGUGAAACCAGAGGAUGGACAGUGUCAGGUGGACAGUUUGACUGGGGCGGUCGCCUCCGAAAGAGUAACGGAGGCGCCCAAAGGUACCCUCAGAAUGGAUGGAAACCAUUCGAAGAGAGCAAAGUCAGAAGGGUGCUUGACUGCGAGACCAACAAGUCGAGCAGGUACGAAAGUAGGGCUUAGUGAUCCGGCGGUAAGAGAGUGGAAUUGCCGUCGCUCAACGGAUAAAAGCUACCUCGGGGAUAACAGGCUGAUCUCCCCCAAGAGUCCACAUCGACGGGGAGGUUUGGCACCUCGAUGUCGGCUCGUCGCAUCCUGGGGCUGAAGCAGGUCCCAAGGGUUUGGCUGUUCGCCAAUUAAAGCGGCACGCGAGCUGGGUUCAGAACGUCGUGAGACAGUUCGGUCCCUAUCCAUCGUGGGCGUAGGAGUCAUGAGAGGAGCUGUUCCUAGUACGAGAGGACCGGAAUGGACGCACCACUGGUGCAACUGUUGUCGUGCCAACGGCAUAGCAGGGAAGCGAAGUGCGGAUGGGAUAAACGCUGAAGGCAUCUAAGCGUGAAGCCCACCUCAAGAAUAAG